GAUGAACGCUGACAGAAUGCUUAACACAUGCAAGUCUACUUGAUCCUUCGGGUGGCGAGUGGCGAACGGGUGAGUAAUACAUCGGAACGUGCCUAGUAGUGGGGGAUAACUACUCGAAAGAGUGGCUAAUACCGCAUGAGAUCUACGGAUGAAAGCAGGGGAUCGCAAGACCUUGUGCUACUAGAGCGGCCGAUGGCAGAUUAGGUAGUUGGUGGGAUAAAAGCUUACCAAGCCAACGAUCUGUAGCUGGUCUGAGAGGACGAUCAGCCACACUGGGACUGAGACACGGCCCAG
rnacentral:rRNA from 1 species